UGAGCAGAUGUUCAUGGGGGUGUCUGGGAAUUAUGACUCUGCUCUGUAUAAUUUUGAAAUGAGGAAACAAAUAAUUCAGUGUGAGUAAUACUGUUAAUAAGGUUAGUAAACAGGAACUAAAAGCCCAUAUCUUAUAACAACAUUUGUUGAAAACUGAGAAAGCCUCUAAAGGUAUUAGUUGUGAAAGCUCACAAAUUUCAGGCAAGAGUUGUCAGAAGAAAAUUCCUACCCUGAUCUCUAUAAAAUGGUAACCAUAGCAAAGUCAAACAUUGAGACAUGGCCCUAACAACUUGCCCUGGGUUUUAAAUGGCUGUCUGUCUUCUUAUGUGGUUAACUAAAAGUGCAGACCUACCUUUAAUACUGCAAGUUUACCUGUGGUGUUUAAGAUGGAUUGGGGCAGCUGAGUUUUAUAAUGGAACAAAAAAUACAGCAGUAGCAACCCGGCUCACACAUCAUGACUCAUGCCAAAUCAAGACCUGAGACACUGCACUGAAGUCAUACAGGAGUACAGUAUACAACAAACUUCAUAUUCCAGAGGAAGAGUUCAUUUAUAUCACCAGUGCCAGGUGGUAGACGGGGCAUCAUGGCAGACAUUUUGUAACUGGACAAUGCACAGAUUUCUGCACUAGGUUGAACAUAUGAAAGUGCUUGUUUGAGCAAGGUACCUUUCGAAAUUAUGAGGAGGGAAAUUUUGACUUCAAAACUAUGAAAACGAUCCUAUGUUCAGUCUUUACUACUGUCUUAAGGGUCAGGCAACUCUAAAGAAAGGCACUGCAAGAAAAGACCGUGCCUCUUCUAUAGCAACACCAUCUUGACUUCCAGAAUCACCAUCAGUUACAUCAAGCAGCACCACCUAUUCCAGCUCCUCCAUUCCAGCAUGACUUCUGGAAUCAUCAUCAGUGACAUCAGGCAGCUCCACCUAUUGUACCUCCUUCAUUUCAACAUGACUUCCUGAAUCAUCAUCAGUGACAUCAAGUAGGUCCACCUACUGCACCUCCUCCAUUUCAACAUGACGUCCUGAAUCAUGAUCAGUGACAUCAAGCAGCUCCACCUAUUGCACCUCCUCCAAUCCAGCAUGAAUAACAGAAAUGUCACUUGCUCAUAUUAGUAGAAGUUCUUUUUAUUUUGUUUUAUUUCAGACAUAAAUUUUCAAGGUGCCCUUUGCCAAAUUUUUCAAAAUCAAUAUAAAAAACAUAAGUGGUUACCCUACCCUAAAAGGGUCUUAGACUAACUGGCAGGGAUCUACCUAGCUAACAAAAUUAAAUAAAAUAAAAUGAAAUAAAUUAAAGUGUU